rnacentral:rRNA from 1 species
UCCUACGGGACGCAGCAGUGGGGAAUAUUGCACAAUGGGGGAAACCCUGAUGCAGCGACGCCGCGUGAGUGAAGAAGUAUUUCGGUAUGUAAAGCUCUAUCAGCAGGGAAGAAGAAAGACGGUACCUGAGUAAGAAGCCCCGGCUAACUACGUGCCAGCAGCCGCGGUAAUACGUAGGGGGCAAGCGUUAUCCGGAAUUACUGGGUGUAAAGGGAGCGUAGACGGUAAUGCAAGUCUGGAGUGAAAGGCGGGGGCCCAACCCCCGGACUGCUCUGGAAACUGUGUAACUGGAGUGCAGGAGAGGC